rnacentral:rRNA from 1 species
UACGUAGGGGGCAAGCGUUGUCCAGAUUUAUUGGGCGUAAAGAGCGUGUAGGCGGCUAGAUAGGUCCGUUGUGAAAACUCGAGGCUCAACCUCGAGACGUCGAUGGAAACCAUCUGGCUAGAGUCCGGAAGAGGAGAGUGGAAUUCCUGGUGUAGCGGUGAAAUGCGCAGAUAUCAGGAAGAACACCCGUGGCGAAGGCGGCUCUCUGGUACGUGACUGACGCUGAGACGCGAAAGCGUGGGGAGCAAACAGG